rnacentral:lncRNA from 1 species
GGCAUUCUACUUCUUUUGCAUCGGUUCAGAAACUGUAGUCACUCUGGUUGAAAUUGAAGGUUCUCACAGUAAAACUUGUUGAAUUGAGUAAUGGAAGGGAAUGCGAAAAGCGACCAAAUCGUGGAUGUAGGAUCGGUAGUGGAGGCCGUUUCAGUCGAUGACGGUGAUGCUCCUCUCUACAGCCUCGAAAGUCUUUGCAUGCGAUGUGGUGAAAACGUAAGCUUCUCCCCAUUCUCCGCCACCUUUUCCUUUUCCUUUGGCUUUUCAAUGAAUUCACUUUCUACUUUUUCGCGCACCUUUUGCGUGGUUAACUCAGGGAUUAAAUUCUCCAUUCUUUUACUCUCACUAGUGCAGAAAUGUAAAACAACGACCCUUUAUUUAGUGCGGCUUUGCGUUUAAACGCAUUUGUAAAAAACGCGGUGGCAUUUUUGUAAUUAAAUUGAUUUACAAAUGCGGUUCUAGGGUAAGACCGC